UCGAGGAUCUUUCACAAUGCGCGAAAGCGUGAUGGAGCGACGCCGCGUGCAGGAUGAAGGCCUUCGGGUCGUAAACUGCUGUCAGGAGGGAGCAACGAGCGGGAUACUAAUACUAUCUCGCAGUGAUAGUACCUCCAGAGGAAGCCACGGCUAACUCUGUGCCAGCAGCCGCGGUAAUACAGAGGCGGCAAGCGUUGUUCGGAUUUACUGGGCGUAAAGGGUGCGUAGGCGGUUCCGCAUGUCGGAUG
rnacentral:rRNA from 1 species